CCUUCGACAGAACAGUCUGCGGGCGAGCAAUUCAUGAGCCGGAUCAGGCUCUAUGUCGACGAAGAUGCUGGCGAGCAUGCGGUGAUCGAUGGACUUCGUCAGCGUCCUGACUGUGACGGAAGCCGACAUGGCGAGC
rnacentral:misc_RNA from 1 species